GGGUUGUGAGGUUAAGCGACUAAGCGUACACGGUGGAUGCCCUGGCAGUCAGAGGCGAUGAAGGACGUGCUAAUCUGCGAAAAGCGUCGGUAAGGUGAUAUGAACCGUUACAGCCGGCGAUGUCCGAAUGGGGAAACCCAGUGCAAUUCGUUGCACUAUCGUUUGAUGAAUACAUAGUCAAACGAGGCGAACCGGGGGAACUGAAACAUCUAAGUACCCCGAGGAAAAGAAAUCAACCGAGAUUCCCCCAGUAGCGGCGAGCGAACGGGGAGCAGCCCGGAGUCUGAAUCAGCUUGUGUGUUAGUGGAAGCGUCUGGAAAGUCGCAGGGUACAGGGUGAUACUCCCGUACACUAAAACACACAGGUUGUGAACUCGAAGAGUAGGGCGGGACACGUGGUAUCCUGUCUGAAUAUGGGGGGACCAUCCUCCAAGGCUAAAUACUCCUGACUGACCGAUAGUGAACCAGUACCGUGAGGGAAAGGCGAAAAGAACCCCGGCGAGGGGAGUGAAAAAGAACCUGAAACCGUGUACGUACAAGCAGUAGGAGCCCACUAGUUGGGUGACUGCGUACCUUUUGUAUAAUGGGUCAGCGACUUAUAUUCUGUAGCAAGGUUAACCGUAUAGGGGAGCCGCAGGGAAACCGAGUCUUAACUGGGCGUUAAGUUGCAGGGUAUAGACCCGAAACCCGGUGAUCUAGCCAUGGGCAGGUUGAAGGUUGGGUAACACUAACUGGAGGACCGAACCGACUAAUGUUGAAAAAUUAGCGGAUGACUUGUGGCUGGGGGUGAAAGGCCAAUCAAACCGGGAGAUAGCUGGUUCUCCCCGAAAGCUAUUUAGGUAGCGCCUCGUGAAUUCAUCUUCGGGGGUAGAGCACUGUUUCGGCUAGGGGGUCAUCCCGACUUACCAACCCGAUGCAAACUACGAAUACCGAAGAAUGUUAUCACGGGAGACACACGGCGGGUGCUAACGUCCGUCGUGAAGAGGGAAACAACCCAGACCGCCAGCUAAGGUCCCAAAGUCAUGGUUAAGUGGGAAACGAUGUGGGAAGGCCCAGACAGCCAGGAUGUUGGCUUAGAAGCAGCCAUCAUUUAAAGAAAGCGUAAUAGCUCACUGGUCGAGUCGGCCUGCGCGGAAGAUGUAACGGGGCUAAACCAUGCACCGAAGCUGCGGCAGCGACACUAUGUGUUGUUGGGUAGGGGAGCGUUCUGUAAGCCGUUGAAGGUGGCCUGUGAGGGUUGCUGGAGGUAUCAGAAGUGCGAAUGCUGACAUAAGUAACGAUAAUGCGGGUGAAAAACCCGCACGCCGGAAGACCAAGGGUUCCUGUCCAACGUUAAUCGGGGCAGGGUGAGUCGACCCCUAAGGCGAGGCCGAAAGGCGUAGUCGAUGGGAAACAGGUUAAUAUUCCUGUACUCGGUGUUACUGCGAAGGGGGGACGGAGAAGGCUAUGUUGGCCGGGCGACGGUUGUCCCGGUUUAAGCGUGUAGGUGUGUGUUCCAGGUAAAUCCGGUUCACUUUAACACUGAGGCGUGAUGACGAGGCACUACGGUGCUGAAGUGACAAAUGCCCUGCUUCCAGGAAAAGCCUCUAAGCAUCAGGUAACAUCAAAUCGUACCCCAAACCGACACAGGUGGUCAGGUAGAGAAUACCAAGGCGCUUGAGAGAACUCGGGUGAAGGAACUAGGCAAAAUGGUGCCGUAACUUCGGGAGAAGGCACGCUGAUGGUAAGUGAAGCGACUUGCUCGUGGAGCUGAAAUCAGUCGAAGAUACCAGCUGGCUGCAACUGUUUAUUAAAAACACAGCACUGUGCAAACACGAAAGUGGACGUAUACGGUGUGACGCCUGCCCGGUGCCGGAAGGUUAAUUGAUGGGGUUAUCCUCGCGGAGAAGCUCUUGAUCGAAGCCCCGGUAAACGGCGGCCGUAACUAUAACGGUCCUAAGGUAGCGAAAUUCCUUGUCGGGUAAGUUCCGACCUGCACGAAUGGCGUAAUGAUGGCCAGGCUGUCUCCACCCGAGACUCAGUGAAAUUGAACUCGCUGUGAAGAUGCAGUGUACCCGCGGCAAGACGGAAAGACCCCGUGAACCUUUACUAUAGCUUGACACUGAACACUGGUCCUUGAUGUGUAGGAUAGGUGGGAGGCUUUGAAGUGUGGACGCCAGUCUGCAUGGAGCCAUCCUUGAAAUACCACCCUUUAAUGGCUGGUGUUCUAACGUGGGCCCCUAAUCGGGGUUGCGGACAGUGUCUGGUGGGUAGUUUGACUGGGGCGGUCUCCUCCUAAAGAGUAACGGAGGAGCACGAAGGUCAGCUAAUCCUGGUCGGACAUCAGGAGGUUAGUGCAAUGGCAUAAGCUGGCUUGACUGCGAGCGUGACGGCGCGAGCAGGUGCGAAAGCAGGUCAUAGUGAUCCGGUGGUUCUGAAUGGAAGGGCCAUCGCUCAACGGAUAAAAGGUACUCCGGGGAUAACAGGCUGAUACCGCCCAAGAGUUCAUAUCGACGGCGGUGUUUGGCACCUCGAUGUCGGCUCAUCACAUCCUGGGGCUGAAGUAGGUCCCAAGGGUAUGGCUGUUCGCCAUUUAAAGUGGUACGCGAGCUGGGUUUAGAACGUCGUGAGACAGUUCGGUCCCUAUCUGCCGUGGGCGCUGGAGAAUUGAGGGGGGCUGCUCCUAGUACGAGAGGACCGGAGUGGACGCAUCACUGGUGUUCGGGUUGUCAUGCCAAUGGCAUUGCCCGGUAGCUAAAUGCGGAAGAGAUAAGUGCUGAAAGCAUCUAAGCACGAAACUUGCCCCGAGAUGAGUUCUCCCUGACCCUUUAAGGGUCCUGAAGGAACGUUGAAGACGACGACGUUGAUAGGCCGGGUGUGUAAGCGCAGCGAUGCGUUGAGCUAACCGGUACUAAUGAACCGUGAGGCUUAACCUUACAACGCCGAAG
rnacentral:rRNA from 2 species